rnacentral:rRNA from 1 species
UAGCGGAACUCCUACGGGAGGCAGCAGUGGGGAAUUUUGGACAAUGGGCGAAAGCCUGAUCCAGCAAUGCCGCGUGCAGGAUGAAGGCCUUCGGGUUGUAAACUGCUUUUGUACGGAACGAAAAAGCUCUUUCUAAUACAGGGGGCCCAUGACGGUACCGUAAGAAUAAGCACCGGCUAACUAUGUGCCAGCAGCCGCGGUAAUACGUAGGGUGCGAGCGUUAAUCGGAAUUACUGGGCGUAAAGCGUGCGCAGGCGGUUAUGUAAGACAGAUGUGAAAUCCCCGGGCUCAACCUGGGAACUGCAUUUGUGACUGCAUGGCUAGAGUACGGUAGAGGGGGAUGGAAUUCCGCGUGUAGCAGUGAAAUGCGUAGAUAUGCGGAGGAACACCGAUGGCGAAGGCGAUCCCCUGGACCUGUACUGACGCUCAUGCACGAAAGCGUGGGGAGCAAACAGGAUUAGAAACCCGAGUAGUCCACUUAUG